UGAGCUGAUUUAAGUCCUAGUUAGUUCUCCAGAGAGGGUUAUUUUAAAAGAGUUGAGCGUGGUGCCCUCCUGUGCUCUAGCUUCCUGUCUCACGAUGCUCAGGCUUCUAUCAGGAUGCCUCGUGCCAUGAUACAACGUAGCCGGGGAGGGCUUUGCCACAGUUGAGGCUGUGCCUCUUGGGGUGGCUAUGAGUUAAGUAAACCCCCUUUCUGUACAAAAUACUCUGCUUGGGCCGUUCUGCUGCCGCCGUGGAAAGCGUGCUGACGCACACCUUCGGCUCCGCCCUCACGUACCAUCGCCGCGAGGGAUUGAAGCUCUAUCUCCAGAGUCUGCAGGCUGCGUUUCAGUUCCACCAGCUCGUUCCUGGCCGCCGUGGCUGCUCCCGCAUCGUCUGAAAUCUGUUGCUGCAGAGCUGCGCUCUGAAGAGGCAUUGCCAGAAGGGACUUCCAUUUCCUGGAGAGGGAAGGAUAUUGAUUGACAUCCACAUCCUGGGACGGACCUGAAGAAAGGAACUCGGCGCGGAAGGCUGUUCCUCAGGCUUCCUUACCUCCUCAUGGUUCUUCUGGAGGUAUGUCAGUUCCUCGCUCAGAGCCUCGCGUUGUAUUUCCAGGUCGGUCGUGGCGAGUGUGAGCUCUUCCAACACUCUGCGAAGACCGUUGGUGUCGGCCUCAGCACUCUGGCGCAGGGCAAGCUCAUUUUCGUACCUUGAAGGGCGCGAAGGUGUUUUAGAAUUGUGAUUCCAAGCAGGUACAACUUGUAAAGACCGGUCGUAUGCCAAGGGGAAGGGGUGUUGUGGUCUGUAUGUAUUUCUGAGGCUUCUUGCAAUGGCAAACUAUGAAGACAGUUUGAGAUACCUUUUAAUUGGUAAGUACAGCUUUUUGUGUGUGUACGUUUGCAUGUGCUUGUGCAGACGCAUGCGUAGGUCAGAGGUCAAUAUUGGGUGGUCUUUCUCAGUAACUCUUCACCGGUUUUGAGACAGGGGCUCUCACUGAACUUGGAGCUCACGGGUUUGUCCAGGCUGCUGGCCAGCAAGCCUCUCCUCUCUCUCUCUUUCUCUCUCUGUUUUGUUUUUGAGACGGGGACUUUCUAUGUAGCCUUGGCUGUCCUGGAACUUGCUCUGUAGAUCAGGCUGACCUCAAACUCACAGAGCUCCUUUUGCCUCUGCCUCCCAAGUCCUGGGAUUAAAGGGGUGCGCCACCACCACCCGGCUCCAUCUCACCAGCACUGGAAUUGCUCGGGUAUGCUGCCAACCCCUUGUUUGUAUGUACAUGUUGGGGGUCUGAAGUCAGGUUGACCCUCAUGCUUUUGUGGCAAACCCUUUACCAACAACCCAGCCCCCAUAAAUGUAUUAUUUUAGAGGUAUUAUUUCUUUACAGUUGAUCUUUGUGAUCCAAUAACAUGUUGGAAUAGAAUUAAAAAAAAUUAUGGUAGAUCUUUUUAUAAGGAUGUAUUAAAUUCUACUACUUUGUUGAUCUAGAAUAGAGUGACUUCAUUAAAAUUGUUUGGCCGGCUGAAGGGAUGGCUCGAUGGUUAAAAGCAUUUGACUGCUUUUCCGGAGGACCUGCGUUUGAUUCCCAGCCACCAAAUGGCAGCUAACAACUGUCUGUAACUUUCGUUUCAGUGGAUCCAAUGAUCCUUCUGGUCCCCAAAGGUACCAGGCACACAAGUCAUGCACAGACAUAUAUGCAGGCAAGACACCUGUAGACAUAAAACACACACACACACACACACAUACACACACACACAUACACACACACACACACACACAAAAUAGGUUUUAAAAGCAAAAGGUACGUUCCUUAGAGCAGCUGUGGCCUUCACUUUGCUGGCACCUACUUCAUCCUGAAGUCAUCCGCUGUGAGCCUGGCAUUGUCGUUUUGAAGAAUAAGGUUGGCAUUGCAGGUGGUCACAGAAACGAUCUGAAUGGGACAGUCAAGGGACAUUGCAACGUCAGUGUGAAUCUGUCUCGGGCAUUUGUAUUAGUAUCUUUACUUGGGUGCCCAAAGAACCUUGGUUUUGGGGUGUAACUCAGUGAUAGAACUCCUGUUUAGCAUAUCAGACAAACGAUCAAAAAGCAAAGCAAACAAACAAGAACCAUUAUUUCAGUCAGGUAAUAAAGAGCCCCACAGAUAACUUCACAGUUGCUCAUCAAGAACUAUGAGUUGAAUAUCAAAGCUAAAUAAAUAAAUAAAUAAAUAAAUAAAUAAAGUGAUGCAGCAACCCUGUGAUACUGAACCCAGAGCCUCAGGCGUGCUUAUGGGCUUAUGAACUACAUCCCAAGCUCUCAUUUUAGUUUUUAAUUCUGAGGCAGGAUCUCAUUAAAUUACCCAGGCUGCCCUCCAAUUUGUGAUCCCCUUACUUCAGCCUCUGGGGUGGCAGGGAUCACAGGACUGUGCAACCAGGCCUGGCUCUGUUAUAUUGAUGUUGAAGCUAUUUCUCUUCUACUGUUUGGUUCUACAUUUUUUUUUUUUUUUAAAUUGCCAGGCACCACCCUAACUCCGGGACCAAAGAGUGAGAAAAUUUCCACACCCCAUACACUUGCUAAGUGCAUUUGAAAUGAAUUAAUUAACUAAUGAAGCUCAUUUAUGAUACUGGAGAUUGAACUGAGAAUCACAGGCAUGCUGGCUAAAAAUUCUACUAUUAUAUUUUCAGCUUUUUUUUUUUUUUUUUUUUAAUUGAGAUAGGGUUUCUUAAGUUCCCAGGCCUGCCUCAAUCUGUGAUCCCCCUGUCUCAGCCUCGGGAGUCGCUGUGAUGACUGGUAUGUGCCGCCACAGCUUACUGCUAAAUACUUUUUAAGUUUCCUUUGCUUUUAAUCAUGCCCACCCCACGCCCACAGCCACAGGAUGGGAACCUGCGUUUCUUACCUGUUGUUUCAAGUCCUCGAUGACUGAGAAAUACCUGCUGUAGUCAUGGUCAAGUCCACGGCCACUGCCAGGCCCGCAUCUCUCAUACCAGCCUUCGAUCUUCUUCUCCAGGACUGUGUUGGCCUCCUCCAGGGCACCCACGUGGUUCAGGGCGUGAACUCGGGAGGAGAGAACCUUGCCACGGGGAUCUAAUUCUUCAACAACAGUUUUAACGAUUGCAGUUCUAGAUGAAUCUAAAACGACACAGAUGAAAUUGUGUUAAAUUCACAGAAUCUCUCUACAUAGCCCUGGCUAUUCUGAAACUCGCUAUGUAGACCAGGCUGGCCUCAGACUUACAGAAUCUCCCCUGACUGUGCUUCCCGAAUGCUGGGAUUAAAUGCGCGCACCACCAUCGCUGCCUAGACAUCAGUAUCUUACUGACCCUUUUUAUAACCAAAUAUUUUCGUAGAAUCAUUUCUUGAACGAUUUUUAUAUACAUUCACGCACAGCCGUGCAUUGUUUUGUGGGUUUAAUGCUGUAGGUUUCCUAGCCAUAGGUGGAAAGGUACAGACACAGGUUAGGCGAGUUGGAGAGGAAGUCCCAUUCUUUGUCUCUAAUCGCGCAACCCUGUGAAUUGCCUCUCCUCCUUGAAUCUGAUUCUUGUUCUGGAGAUAAUGACGGGAGUGCCUGUCUGCCCCUCAGGGGUAUUGUGGACUAACCUCUGAGUGAAAGACUGGGCAAACCCUUAAUGAAAAGGGUGAUUAUUAUUGUUAUUAGGCACCUCUUGAAUACACCUCUGCUUUGCUUCUUAUUUAUGCCACUUAAAAGGAGCUUAAGUGCUCUUAAUUAACUGACCCACGGGAAGGCGGGGUGGGGAAACCAGGGAAGACAUUUUUGCUCUGCACAGAUGAAAGUUUUGAUCUGUUGACUCGGGAGAGGAGAGUCAACAGAAUUAGCUUUCUUAUUGAGCUCUUUUAAAAUAAUUGUAUUUACUGGUUUCCGGGGCUUGUUGUAGGCAUGGUUUUCAAGCAGAUGUCAACAUAGUAAUCCGUGACUAAAAUCCCAAAUGGUGCAACACUACCAGCACGACAAUUCUUUUGAGUUUUUCUCAAGUUCUAAAGCAGAUCUGCCUGGUCCUUGGUACUCACCAUGGCUAAGAGGGACUGCAGCUCUAUCUCCAGGGUUUGGAGAGUCCGUUUCAUCUCAGUAAGUUCGUUCCUGGCUGAGGUGGUGGCUCCAGCAUCGUCUGAAAUCUGCUGCUGCAGGGAAGCGCUCUGCAAAGUCAGGAGCUGGUGUCAGGGUGGAGACAGCGGCAUCCACACCCCAUGCCAGGCAAGUGCCAGCGAGCCUGGCUUUACCUUCUCUUGGAACCAGGCCUCGGCGUCCCUGCGGUUCUGCUCCGCCAGAGCCUCGUACUCGGCUCGCAUGUUGUUCAGCAGGACAGUGAGGUCCACGCCGGGGGCUGCGUUCAUCUCCACGUUCACGUUGCCUCCGGCUGCGCACUGCAGGGCCUGCAUUUCCUGGAACAGAUGUGCUCAACCACAUUAGGUUCUGACUGUCUGAAAGGGAGCCAAGCCGGCAGGAUCCGUGAGGCUCAAAGCUUUCUGUGAGGUCUGUUUCUUUUUCUCUUUUGAGCCAGUCUUAUUCUGGAGCCCAGGCUGCCCAGGGACUGUGAGCAAUUGUCUUGCCUCAGCCACUUGAGAUCUGGGAUUGUAGCUGUGAGCUAUCAUCCUGGGCUGGUUUGUUUCAUUUGAGAGGGAAUGAGAGAAAUAUUUCAAAGGAGUAGGGAGAAAUUAAAACCGUCUUGAUAUUAAGAUAUGCUAUUUACCAUCUGAAAUUAGGUUUAGAUUUUGGGAAGGAGGCAGAAGCUGUGGAGACGGAGAAGAUUGAGUGCCUACCUCCUCGUGGUUCUUCUUGAGGUAGGCCAGCUCCUCACUCAGUGUUUCCAGCUGGACCUCAAGGUCGGUUCUGCACAAAGUCAGGUCGUCCAGGACCCUUCUCAAGCCAUUGAUGUCCGCUUCCACACUCUGGUGGAGCGCCAGUUCAUUUUCAUACCUUAGAGACGAGGUUGAAAGGUUCAUCCUCCUCUCCCACCAGAUCUGAGUCACCCCACUUUUCAAGUCAUCCUAAAACCCAACCUAAUACAUCAGGCCUGGGCAAAACUACCCACAGUGGAAUAGACAAUGCUCCUACGAGGCAAGCCAGUGGGACUAUUCAAAGUUCUCUUCCCUAUGACCUUGACAUUCGUUCGUGCUAGCUUCACACUUUCUGAGUAAAUUAGGUUCCCCUAUUGGUCUUCUCGAUACGGAUUUGGUUUAAAAUGGACACGUGGACAAAAACGAUGGUCCCCAUUCCUCCCUCCUCCCGCCCCCAAAAAAGAGGGAUGUGCAGGGAUAACUUUUGGCUCAACUCACUUCAUCCUGAAGUCAUCCGCCGUCAGCCUUGCAUUGUCAUUUUGCAGGAUGAUACUGGCGUUGUUGGCAGUUGCAGAGAUAAUCUGAUGGAUGGAGACUUAGUUAAGAGUGGGGACAUAGUAAACCGUUCAGAUUGCCUUGCAGUUAAGUUAUGUGUGAGAUCAUAGUAAAUACUUCUUGCGCCUGGAGCUGAUGAUGAGAAGUGAGAUAGAGUCAAUUUUAAUCCCCACGUUAUCAUUUUAAAAAUGCCCCCUCUAAGUUUAUAAAUAUGUAGUUGGAGACACUGGGCAGUUUUUGAUAUCUUUCCAUUACUAAAAACGUGCGUGCGUGACUGAUUUCGGAUGAUGGGCGGGUCAUGCUCAGAGGUUAUAAUUGUAAUAUAAAUUAUUACUGUUUUGUUUUUUUUUUUUUAAAUUCACUUGCUCUAUGUGUAUCCGUGUCUUGCCCCCUGCAUGCAGGUUUGUGCACCCUGGGUGUGCCUGGUGCCCCCGGAGGCAGGGAGAAGACUUUAGAUACUCUGGAACUGGAGUUACACACAGUUGUGAGCCAUCAUGAAGAUGCUAGGACUUAACCCAGGUCUCUGGAAAGAGCAACAUCCGGCCCAGAAACGGUUUUGAAUAUUGAUAAUGGAGUACUUGAAGCUGAGCUCCGGGUGCUGCUCUGACAUCAUCUUCUUUUCUGUGUCCAUAUGCCCCUGGGGUCACUGUACUUCUUACCUGGGUCCUGAGGUCGUCGAUGAUGGGGAGGUAUCUACUGUAGUCGUGAUCGAGACCGCGGCAGGAACCAGGUCCAAAUUUUUCAUACCAGUCCUUGAUCUUCUGCUCCAGGUCAGCGUUGGCCUCCUCCAGCGCUUGCACGUUCUCCAGGUAGGAGGCCAGGCGGUCAUUGAGGUUCUGCAUGGUGACCUUCUCGUUGCCGGAGAGGAGGCCAUGCUCGUUCGAGGUGAAGGCCCCACAGGAGGCGCCGCCCAUACCCAGCCCUCCUGCCAAGGAACUGCCCCCAAAGGCGCAGGAGAAGCCACUUCCAAUGCCUGGCAUUCCACAUGUGUUUCCCACCCCCAAGGCUGCUCCGGUGCUGGAGAGCCUCGAGGAGCCGAGCCUUCUGGAUGCAGAGGAAAAGCGAACAGACAUGGUGUUCAGGUUGGAGGGCUGCUCCGAUGGCGAAUGCCCUACUGGCCUCCUGGUUCCGCUGGCUACUGGUCAUCUCGGUAGACUGAGUUUUAGACGGUGGCCCUCUGAGAAUCCCCCCACAUCUCUGCCUGCUCCCCUUUCUCUUCUAUUCAUGCCUUGUCCAGCCACGCUUUGCCACUGUACAAUCACAGUUCUGUGUGUGCCCGAUUAAGAUUUGUUCUUGACACAGAUGUCACCUUGCUUGCCAUCCUGUUUCAUGAUAAGCCUCUUUCCUGUCCUUUGCCUGUGUUCAUGUUCUUUGC